rnacentral:rRNA from 1 species
UAGGGAAUCUUCCGCAAUGGACGCAAGUCUGACGGAGCAACGCCGCGUGAGUGAAGAAGGAUUUCGGUUCGUAAAACUCUGUUGUUAGAGAAGAACAGCGCAUAGAGUAACUGUUAUGCGUGUGACGGUAUCUAACCAGAAAGCCACGGCUAACUACGUGCCAGCAGCCGCGGUAAUACGUAGGUGGCAAGCGUUGUCCGGAUUUAUUGGGCGUAAAGCGAGCGCAGGCGGUCAAUUAAGUCUGAUGUGAAAGCCCCCGGCUCAACCGGGGAGGGUCAUUGGAAACUGGUUGACUUGAGUGCAGAGGAGGAGAGUGGAAUUCCAUGUGAAGCGGUGAACUGCGUAGAUAUAUGGAGGAACACCGGUGGCGAAGGCGACUCUCUGGUCUGUAACUGACGCUGAGGCUCGAAAGCGUGGGUAGCAAACAGG